UGGGAACGUACCCUUUGGUUCGGAACAACCCAGGGAAACUUGGGCUAAUACCGGAUACGUCCGUAAGGAGAAAGAUUUAUCGCCAAAGGAUCGGCCCGCGCCUGAUUAGCUUGUUGGUGAGGUAACGGCUCACCAAGGCUACGAUCAGUAGCUGGUCUGAGAGGAUGAUCAGCCACACUGGGACUGAGACACGGCCCAGACUCCUACGGGAGGCAG
rnacentral:rRNA from 1 species